rnacentral:rRNA from 1 species
GACGAACGCUGGCGGCGCGCCUUACGCAUGCAAGUCGAACGGAGUACUCCCUCGGGGGUGCUCAGUGGCAGACGGGUGAGUAACACGUAGGUAACCUGCCCAGGAGUGGGGAAUAACUCUCCGAAAGGAGAGCUAAUACCGCAUGACGUCGCUCCGGACAACGGGGUGACCAAAGCAGCAAUGCGCUCUUGGAGGGGCCUGCGGCCCAUCAGCUAGUUGGCGGGGUAACGGCCCACCAAGGCAACGACGGGUAGCUGGUCUGAGAGGACGGCCAGCCACAAGGGGACUGAGACACGGCCCCUACUCCUACGGGAGGCAGCAGCGAGGAAUCUUGGGCAAUGGGCGAAAGCCUGACCCAGCGACGCCGCGUGGAGGACGAAGGCCUUCGGGUUGUAAACUCCUUUUGCCGGGGAAGAUAAUGACGGUACCCGGCGAAUAAGCCACGGCUAACUACGUGCCAGCAGCCGCCGUAA